CCUGGCUGUAAGGGAGUUCAGACAUAUCAUCGAUUUAAUAUAAACAUGAGUGAUGGCGCAUGGGGGCGUAAAACGGUCCGUACUCUUUUCAAAAGCGGAUUUUUCUAACUGACCUCGGUGUUCUGGACAAGCGACUCGGCGCUGAGAUUAAUAGUGGCAGUUGCUGUUCGGCUGGCUUUCCUCAGCCGGUUCCCCAGAGCUUGACGACCCGUCACACGGAAUCAGAAAUUAUUUUGGCAUUAGUUAUUCAGCCUUGCUGUGGAGAGGCGGUCUUCAGGCUGGAGUGCUCGCAGUCCCUGAGAGAAUGAAGUUUUGUGAAACCAUGGGUCAGCUCUGCUGGUUGAUCCUUUGAUGAUUGGGGGAUCUGCAAUGUCCAAAGAGCCAGGAUGAGGAGGCCCAGAAACCUUCACGACCCAGUCCAUCCCCUGUCGAUCUUGUUGCUGUCCAGAGCAGAAACCGGAGGUAGCCCAAGGCAGAGUUUCACAGGAAAACCUCCCACUGUAAAGUUCAGGACCAGCGCUGUUGUCAAUUCCCCAUCUAUACAUUUCCAUGUCCAGGUUCUGGCUGACCCCAGAAAGCAUAUGACAGCCCUCUGGGGGCUGCUGUAAAUCACUCCUCUCACAAUUUCAUUUUUCUGAAAGGACUUGGGGGAGCUUUGGAAGGUCCUGGUUUCAUGACUUUAUAAAUUUCUAUGCCAGGAAACUUGGACUUUUGUUAUAUGUUGGGAGGCUCUAAAAAGCUGCAGGUCUCCAGCCUCCGUUCUGGCAUUUAAAUGGAGGUAGAGACCAUUAGCAGAGAGUGGGGGUCCUGCCCUUCACAAAAUGUUAACAUAAAAUCUGUAAGCCAAACUGAGGACAAGUUACCUUCCCUUCCCAAAGUGCUUUUCUCCCUAUCUGCCCUCAGCCCAGGUGCCCCCCUUGAUCUCUGACAGGGUCCUCAUUUUAAUUAAAGCCUGCUAGGUGUCAUUAACAUGGAAAUGCUUGCUUUGGAGGGGCGGGGAGAGAAUAUGCACUGUAAUGUUACCAUUUGCUACUGACAUACUCUCUCAUUCUGAGGCAAAUUUUGAGAAUAAGUGAAGUGGGAGACAACAGGAAGUCUCAAGAAUAAAAGAAUAUAUAACAACCUGUUGAUGUUUGUGCGUGUGUGUGUGUGCGUGUGUGCGAGCGGGUUUACCUA